rnacentral:rRNA from 1 species
AUGAAGCUUCACUGGUGCGUCAAUGAAGCUUCGCCAGAGCUCAUCAGCGAUGCAUCCAAGUUUCUUCGCCACGCUCGGUGUUGCUAUGGAGCAGCACCCGGUGGCUUCGAUGGUGUGAUGCAGCGGUUGCCGACGACUCUUGGAGCUGCGAUGCAGCAGUUGCCGGCGGCUCCAGUGACGCGAGGUCGCCGACGCAAGGUCGCCGACGCAAGGUACCAGGGGGGUGCUGUCCUGCUUUGCAUCAGGCGGCGUUGCUCUGUAUCAGAAUCAGAUGGAUGGGGAUUAGAGAAGAAAGACCAAGCCUGUGAUGACUCGAUCAAACGGCCAUCAAUACAGGAUCGAACGGCUGGCUGGGUGGAUGAUUUCUCUAGGAAAUCAUCCGCCUGA